UAGCCACGCUCUCACAAGACGUGCGAGCUUCUCUAGCUCUUUUUUUUUGGGAGGGGGCCUACUCAUUGGUUUUCCCGGAAUAUUCGCCUCUCUCAUUCUGAACUCCCACAAGUCAACACCAUGAACCACAAGGAGGAGGACGACAGUGUCUUUGCACCGAUAGCGCGCCCCCUGUCCGUCGUGCCGUUGAGGUAUCACCAAUCGCGCGCGCACCCCGCCAAGUGCCGUCUCGAAGUCGAUCCGAUAUAUGAAAGUAGCUCACUCGAGAGGGACGCAAGCCCGCUGUUGGCGACAGAGCUCCGGCAGCACCUUGGAGACCUGCCGUCCGCGUCAACGCGUGCGUCGCGAAGGCGUGGCAGUAAUGCCGUCCAUGUGAGCCCGCUAGGCAGUGCUACCGGUCCCGCCGCCGCGGCAGCGAAGAAGGCAGAAAAUGAGGCAAAGGUGCAACCGCCGACAGCAGAGGAAGAGUCGUGGAGUAAAUGGGGCUACCGUCACCUUUACAACAGCGUUGUCAUGAUAAUAAUUAGCUUCUAUCAGAUUGGGCAGCUCGGGUUGAAGCAGCAGCACGCCGACAUGAUGCUGGAGCGUACGAAGGACGCCUACAUGCCCGUCCCUCCUCGCGCAGAGGACUUGAAGGCGGAGGAGACGGCAGCAACGGCAUCUUUGGCUUGAUGUGCAGAGAACUACGAAGCACAGAAAGGGCUGGGCGAAUCGAGCAGAGAGAACACCGCCGCUCGCUGCACCGUAUCCCAAUCUCUCUCUCGCUUGGUCGAUUUUUUUCGCGAAUUCGCUGUUCCAUCUGUGCUUGCGUCUUAGGGAGGCUUCCGCUGGGGUCUCUGUAUUGUGUCCACCUCUCAAAUCAUUUUUAUUUUCCGUGUGUAAGCGCGUUCACAAGCGUCGUCGCCUUUCGAGUAUCAGCAUGUCUCCGCUUUUACGGGCCUUCGCCACCAGCAAGAUCCAAUGCAGACACACACACACACACACACACACACAUGCAAAUUGACGUUUCUGGUCUGCUUCUCUUUCACUUUUCCGCUUUUUCUUUUUUUUUGUGUGUGUGUGCGUGGAGUUGUUGAAAGAGGGGAGAUGCGGGGGCAUGAACUGUCGCCUGACACCGACUCGAUGCACCCGCUGUACCCAUAUGGGAACAUCGAUGCAUGUAUGCUCGCGCGAGCAAUGUUCGAUUUACUAGCCCCCUCUUCAAACCACACUCUGCCCGCCCUCCACAUUCUCAUUCCCGCCCCCUUCUUCGGUGUGGCCUAUGUUUUCGAGGGAGCACAAUACGCCCGCCAGAUGGUAUGUGAGCAACUUCGGGCUUGUGGUAUGCCCCCUUCACGUGUUUCUGUCUUUGCAUAAUCGUUUUGCAGGUAUGGAGGUAUAUGUGCAUGCUCUACUCCGUCCUUGUUGGUGUGCUGAUAGGUGACCUCAGGGCUGUGUUGGAGGCGGAGGGCGGAGACGACCUAUGGAGAGCAACGUGGAGCACAUGCUGCCACUGCUGCGUCUGUUCGACUCCCAUUUACCUCCAAUGACUCACCCGAUAUCUUCGCCCCCCCCCACACACACACGUAGCGGAAGCCUUCUACGACGUGUCUGUGCGCAUGCAUGCGCACAACGUAUUUGUUGACUAAGUGUUGCAGAGAGGAGAGGGAGGGGUCAGCAUUCGUUUUCUGCUGUUUGGUUAUUGUUGUUUGUCCCCGUCUGCGUCGCUGUCGUGCUCUCAGUCACUACCGCCUCGCCAUUGUGUCUACUCUCUUGUUCGCCCCACCGUCACCCUACCUACGCCUCCGCAGCCCCUUCGUUAGUGUUGCCUCCCCCCCCCCACACAC
rnacentral:misc_RNA from 1 species